AGAUCACCCUGACUUUUGGAGAGAAAAGAACAUCUGAACGAGCUCUGCCUAAAGAAUUCUUCCCCACUAAGUGGAAGCCAUUACUCCAAGGUACUUCCUGAAUCUCACCAGCCAAUGGCCCCAGAAAGAUAGCAGCUAGUGAUAGUCUUCACACUGAAUGUAAUUUUCUUCUGACAUUCCUGGAUGUACCAGUAGAUUGUGAACUCAUUGAAGGCAAACCAGUGUCUUGUUCAUCUUUAUAUCGUCAAUGCCAGAGCCAGAGUGGGACUUGGAGGAAUGAUGAGCCCACGAUUAUUUAAAAGAGCAAAAAGGAGCAUGGAAACAUGGACAAGAAUAAUGGAGGAAGCCUGCGGUAUGUGAAGGAAAACACAGUUUAACAUAUGCUCGUCAUCCAGCUGAGAGCAACUUCUAGG